UAAGCUGGAGUGUACAAAAAAAGAGAGAGAGAGAGACAGAGGCUUUUCAGAACUAAGAUGACGUCUGUUUCAUUGUCAGACCAAAAUAAGUGGAUUGAUUGAAUUGGUUCGGGAAGCAGUGCCCUCUAGUGGACUGGAGGAUGGCUCGCCUUUGUCCGAGUUCACGUCUGUUAACUUUGAGAGGUCAGACUGCGGUGUGCUCAUUUGUUCUCUUUUCGAUCUCAGCCUGAAGCACAGAAUCAACGGUGAAGGGAGAUGAAGGGGAGUCCGGCCUGGAGCCAGGCAGUUUGCGGGACAGCAGAGGGGAUCCAGGAUAUGGAGGAGAGGAAAAGCAAGG